CAUGGAAAUAUUUCUCUGAGCUUUUCUGCCAUGAAUCCUACAUGAAGAAGGCCUUUGAUUCUCACAGGGGAAAAUCCAUUUUGCCAGAGAGCAAACUCUCUCAGCUCUCUAACUAUGCAUCUAGUCUCCAUCACUCUAAGUCAUGCACAUGAGAAGGUCUGGGAGAAAAAUUUGGCAGUUUUCUGGAGGUUUUCUUGCCAUUGGAAAUAAGAACUGAACAUGAUUCAAUGAUUUUUCUGCACAUCGGGAGAUGUUUUUAUAUCCCUCUUCAACAUGUUGAUGUGAUGAAUUUUUUCAUUGCUGGGAUGAACCCUCUGUGGAUCUAACAUAUGAUGAAAAUUUUUAUUCACUGAAGGAAGAUUAGCCCUGAGCUAACAUCUGCCGCCAACACUACUUUUUUGCUGAGGAAGACUGGCCCUGAGCUAACAUCCAUGCCCAUCUUCCUCUACUUUAUAUGUGAGACACCUGCCACAGCAUGGCUCCACAAGCAGUGCAGGUCUGCACCAGGGAUCUCAACCAGUGAACUCCGGGCCACCAAAGUGGAAUGUGCGAACUUAACCACUGUGCCACUGUGCUGGCCCUUCUUUAACAUUUCAUGUCUUUCUUUUUUCAAAAUGUUAUCUGGGGGAAGUAAUUAAAUAAUUAUUAAGUAAUCAUUAACUUUUGGUGCAUUAUAUAAUAAUGGCUCUUAUCUUGUAGCUAUGUUUUGACCUAAUUUAAU
rnacentral:lncRNA from 1 species